AUUGAACGCUGGCGGCAGGCCUAACACAUGCAAGUCGGACGAGCGGCGGACGGGCGAGCAAUGUAUGGGGAUCUGCCUGAUGGAGGGGGAUAACUACUGGAAACGGUAGCUAAUAGCGCAUACCAUCAGUUGAACUCUUAUGGGAUUAGCUGGUGGGUAAGGUAACGGCUUACCUAGGCGACGAGCCCUAGCUGGCCUGAGAGGAUGAUCAGCCACACUGGGACUGAGACACGGCCCAGACUCCUACGGGAGGCAGCAGUGGGGAAUAUUCGACAAUGGACGCAAGCCUGAUGCAGCCAUGCCGCGUGUGUGAAGAAGGCUUUCGGAUUGUAAAGUACUUUCGGUAGGGAAGCGGUACCGACAGAGGAAGCACCGGCUAACUCCGUGCCAGCAGCCGCGGUAAUAC
rnacentral:rRNA from 1 species